rnacentral:rRNA from 1 species
AACGAACGCUGGCGGCAGGCCUAACACAUGCAAGUCGAGCGCGCCCUUCGGGGUGAGCGGCGGACGGGUGAGUAACGCGUGGGAACGUGCCCUUCUCUUCGGAAUAGCCUCGGGAAACUGAGAGUAAUACCGCAUACGCCCUUUGGGGGAAAGAUUUAUCGGAGAAGGAUCGGCCCGCGUUGGAUUAGGUAGUUGGUGGGGUAAUGGCCCACCAAGCCGACGAUCCAUAGCUGGUUUGAGAGGAUGAUCAGCCACACUGGGACUGAGACACGGCCCAGACUACUACGGGAGGCAGCAGUGGGGAAUCUUAGAAAAUGGGGGCAACCCUGAUCUAGCCAUGCCGCGUGAGUGAUGAAGGCCUUAGGGUUGUAAAGCUCUUUCAGCUGGGAAGAUAAUGACGGUACCAGCAGAAGAAGCCCCGGCUAACUCCGUG